CUUCCCCUCUCCCCCCUCAGCCCCCCUCCUCGCGCGCCCGCCCGGCGCGCGGAGGCCGGCGCUGCCCACGCGUCCCAGCCCCUGCCGUGGCUCCCCGCGUCCCGCCGCCGGCUGCGCCUCCUCGCUCGCAGCUCGCUGCCUCCUGACGCCGGCCGGGCCUCCCCGCCUACUGCUGGCGGCCGCGCCUCCCUGAGGGCUGCGGCGCCGAGCUCCCCGACGCUAGCCGCGAAAUUUGCAGGCGUCCGGCAUGCCACACGUGAGGGGGGCACGGACCAGACCAGCCUUGUCGAAAAUGCCGUGAAGCCGCCGCCGAAUCAUGCACGCAGCGCUCCUAUAGGGAUCCAGGACGCGGGGGAGCUGCAGCUCGUGCUCAACAGCGAGACCAACGGAGCCCAUGGCUGCCACCGUCCACGGCUGGAUCAAGCCUCUCAUGGAGGUCGGCGAGAAUGGCGAGCAGUUCUGCAACCAUCUCCGGGGUCUUUUUUUUCCCACUCGAGAGCCAAUGGAAAAGGAUAAUAUUAGCAGGGGUAAAAUCACAAUUAUCAUAAUAAAUAGGGUAAAAAUACAGGGGUAAAAUUGUCCAUUUAUCCAAAAAUUAAGACCGUUAGAGCAACUUAACAGACCAGGGGUAAACUCUGCCUUUGUUUUGAAAUCGAAGGAGUAAAAUCACAAAGUUAAAAAAAUGAGGGCAAAAUCACUAUUUCACUACAAAACAGAGGUAGAAACACUUUUGCCCCUAUUUUUUAAUAUAGGGUUUUUAGAUCACCCUGUUUUGACCCAGCUAAAACUCAAAACCAAGUUUGUGGACUGAAAUGAUACAACUGAACAAGUUUGACAACCUAAAUGGGUGAUCCUAAGUUUAGGGAUUAUGAUGACAUAGCUGAACUUGUUUGGGAACCUUAGCGGUCGAUUUGCGAGUUUAGGGACCAAGAUGACAUAGCCGAACAAAUUUAGGCACAUAAAUUAUUGCCUUGUGCAUGCCUUUGACACUUUAAGAGAAAAGAAGUCAUCAUGUAUCCAUCUGAAUAUGUAAUCACCCUGUUCGGUAGGCUGGAGCUGGAGUGGUGUGAGAUAAAAACACUGUUACCUGGCUGGUGGCUGGAGGCUGUAGCUGGAGGAAUGUGAGAGGGAACCACCAGCCGAACACAGUGAAUAGAAUAAAUGAAUAGUGAAAAGUAGCAUCCAGUAUGUACCAAAAGUCUGUCUUCAAUUUUAGUUCAUCAUUGAAAUUACCUCUAUGAUUUUGAAUGAAUUUCUUCCAAACUGUGUGCAUAAUCGAGCAGAACAAAUAAAUAUAUUUAUCAAAUGAUUUAAAUGUAAUGAUGAUUGAGGGGGUAUGACCGGGACUACCUUUUCAACAUGUCAAUCAUGUCUUUAAAUAGUUCUGUAUCUUUCCUCAAUGAGUCCAUAACUAUAGCUAAGCUCAUGUCUGGAAUUAUAUAACGACUAUCCAGUGAUUACUGUAAGAUUACAAGAAGCCACUUCUUGUUAGUGUUAAAGAAACUCAAUUAUAGUGUCAGUCAUGUCUUUGAAUAGUUCUGUAUCUUUCCUCAAUGAGUCCAUAACUAUAGCUAAGCUCAUGUCAGGAAUUAUAUAACUACUAUCCAGUGAUUUCUGCAAGAUUACAAGUAGCCACUUCUUGUUAGUGUUAAAGAAACUCAAUUAUAGAGAAUUAUAAGAGUUACAAGGCAGAAAACACUCAUGCAAAGUUGUAAGGAAAUAAUAUGUUCUGCUUGUAGUUCUGAAUAAAUAAGUAUACUUGUAUAAGUUAUGAAAUGUUUCUGACACA